rnacentral:rRNA from 1 species
CAGCAGCCGCGGGAAUACGGAGGGUGCAAGCGUUAAUCGGAAUUACUGGGCGUAAAGCGCACGCAGGCGGUCUGACAAGUCAGAUGUGAAAUCCCCGGGCUUAACCUGGGAACUGCAUUUGAAACUGUCAGGCUGGAGUCUUGUAGAGGGGGGUGGAAUUCCAGGUGUAGCGGUGAAAUGCGUAGAGAUCUGGAGGAAUACCGGUGGCGAAGGCGGCCCCCUGGACAAAGACUGACGCUCAGGUGCGAAAGCGUGGGGAGCAAACAGGAUUAGAUACCCGCGUAGUCCCUGUCUCUUAUAA